UCCUACGGGAGGCAGCAGUGGGGAAUAUUGCACAAUGGGCGCAAGCCUGAUGCAGCGACGCCGCGUGAGGGAUGACGGCCUUCGGGUUGUAAACCUCUUUCAGUAGGGAAGAAGCGAAAGUGACGGUACCUGCAGAAGAAGCGCCGGCUAACUACGUGCCAGCAGCCGCGGUAAUACGUAGGGCGCAAGCGUUAUCCGGAAUUAUUGGGCGUAAAGAGCUCGUAGGCGGUUUGUCGCGUCUGCCGUGAAAGUCCGGGGCUCAACUCCGGAUCUGCGGUGGGUACGGGCAGACUAGAGUGAUGUAGGGGAGACUGGAAUUCCUGGUGUAGCGGUGAAAUGCGCAGAUAUCAGGAGGAACACCGAUGGCGAAGGCAGGUCUCUGGGCAUUAACUGACGCUGAGGAGCGAAAGCAUGGGGAGCGAACAGGAUUAGAUACCCUGGUAGUCCAUGCCGUAAACGUUGGGCACUAGAUGUGGGGACCAUUCCACGUUUUCCGCGCCGUAGCUAACGCAUUAAGUGCCCCGCCUGGGGAGUACGGCCGCAAGGCUAAAACUCAAAGGAAUUGACGGGGGCCCGCACAAGCGGCGGAGCAUGCGGAUUAAUUCGAUGCAACGCGAAGAACCUUACCAAGGCUUGACAUGGACCGGAAACACCUGGAAACAGGUGCCCCGCUUGCGGCCGGUUCACAGGUGGUGCAUGGUUGUCGUCAGCUCGUGUCGUGAGAUGUUGGGUUAAGUCCCGCAACGAGCGCAACCCUCGUUCCAUGUUGCCAGCGCGUAAUGGCGGGGACUCAUGGGAGACUGCCGGGGUCAACUCGGAGGAAGGUGGGGACGACGUCAAAUCAUCAUGCCCCUUAUGGGUAGGGCUUCACACGUCAUACAAUGGUCGGAACAGAGGGUUGCCAACCCGCGAGGGGGAGCUAAUCCCAGAAAACCGAUCGUAGUCCGGAUUGCACUCUGCAACUCGAGUGCAUGAAGCUGGAAUCGCUAGUAAUCGCGGAUCAGCAUGCCGCGGUGAAUACGUUCCCGGGCCUUGUACACACCGC
rnacentral:rRNA from 1 species